rnacentral:rRNA from 1 species
CCUACGGGAGGCAGCAGUGGGGAAUAUUGCGCAAUGGGCGCAACCCUGACCCAGCAACGCCGCGUGAAGGAAGAAGGCUCUCGGGUUGUAAACUUCUUUUAACAGGGAAGAGAAGCAGACUGUACCUGUUGAAUAAGCCACGGCUAACUACGUGACAGCAGCCGCGGUAAUACGUAGGUGGAAAGCGUUGCCCGGAUAUAGUGGGUGGAAGGGGCGGGCAGCCGGGUUUAUAAGUCAGAUGUGAAAUCCCGCGGCUCAACCGCGGAACUGCAUGUGAAACUGUAGAUCUUGAGUACUGGAGAGGCAGGCGGAAUUCGUAGUGUAGCGGUGAAAUGCGUAGAUAUUAGGAGGAAAACCAGUGGCGAAGGCGGCCUGCUGGACAGCAACUGACGGUGAGGCGCGAAAGCGUGGGGAGCAAACAGGAUUAGAUACCCCGGUAGUC